UACGAAGGGUGCAAGCGUUACUCGGAAUUACUGGGCGUAAAGCGUGCGUAGGUGGUGAGUUAAGUCUGAUGUGGAAUCCCCGGGCUCAACCUGGGAAUGGCAUUGGAUACUGGCUCGCUAGAGUGCGGUAGAGGGUGGUGGAAUUCCCGGUGUAGCAGUGAAAUGCGUAGAGAUCGGGAGGAACAUCUGUGGCGAAGGCGGCCACCUGGACCAACACUGACACUGAGGCACGAAAGCGUGGGGAGCAAACAGG
rnacentral:rRNA from 1 species